AACUUAUCUUGUCAUUGAUCUUCGCUAACACCGCGUCAGAGAGACUUAAUUAAAUCGCACGCUAACUAACAUAAUCUGUCUCCGCCUCCCGAUCGCUGAAUAGCGAUGACUGAAUCGGGGAAGCUACAGAAAUGCCAGGACUGCCAGUUUAAGACGAGGGCGCCGCGAGUCCGUUGAUAAAUCAGACACGAGCAUGCAUCUACGUGCAGGAUAUACAAACAUCCGCAUGCGACGGUGCUUAAUCGAUCGGCGCUUAAUGACUACAAUACGUUUCAGUCGGUGCGGGAUAGCAUAACCCGCUAGUCGUAAAUUGAAGAACUAACGUCGUAUGUUAGACCGGUGCGUACCACUCUUCCUCCCGCAACGAAAGAUCCGGCAAACGAUUAUUAAUGGCGCUGACGAUGAAAACGAGCCGUUUCUCGGCGAACGAAUCACCGAUAAAUUUAGUGGAAUGUAGGAUUCGGCGUUCCAAGCAAACAACUUGGUCUUUGAACUACCUUAACGUGAAGAAGCAUUAAGUUGAUCAGUGACACUGAUCUUAGUCUUCUUGUAUUAUGAUGUAUAGCGUGAGAUAUAAUUAGCAUCCAGAGACUAAUGCCAAGGAAUGUACUCAGACUCUGCACCAAUAUUCAACUAAUAUAAGCAGAAGAGCUGUAUUACGCAAUAGUGUAUGAAACGUGACGCAUCUGCAGUACAUUUGAUAUUCCAGCGGAGCAUCGCAUUUGUAUCCCUCCCCCAUUUAUUCUAGCGCGUAACUAUCGAUCGAUAUUACGAAGUGUUCAUCCAGUAUGAGACGCUUCACGGACCUUGCAUCACGUUAAAGGGCGCAUUUAAUUAGCACCUAUAGUGUCCUUCGAUGCGUCAAAGCUUACUGUACCUGUUUGAUCACAUAUUUGCGAUAUCCACAACAGAGUUACAAUUUUAUUGGAGAACAUCCGCGACUUGAAGUAGGGAAAAUUGAAUCGCUUGCGCGAGGAGAAGCUCGGCAAACGGAAAAGAUGAGAACUCAUCUGCGAUGAAGCACGGCACUGCGGUACGUACCGUGCCUUGCGCGCGCCUUUCGCUUUCCGAUAGCUGCUCAGAGAGUGCCAGGCGCCAUGGAAUGCCAAGCUCAAAAGAGACAAGACAAACAGAAGGGCAAGGGAGUUGUCUACUGACAAAGCCGUCAGACACCGGUAUGGACUAUGUACACGACUCGAUCGCGGACCGGUCUUGGCGCGUAACGUCGGAGUCUAUCGGAGGUAGAAUUUCAUCCUGGCCUCUACGUGUCAUUUCCACUUUUUACCGAUUGCCAAGUACAGUGUCACGUCGCGCGCAUAUAACCAGAAAAAAAGAACGUAUGAAAUGACGAAUGAACUUGGGAAGUUCUUUGUCGGACUCUUAUACACCGGCGGCGAUAACUUUCCCGCGUAAACUCGCUCGCGGUACGAUAUCAACACGAAUUUUUAACAUCAAAAGACUCUAGGGAUCUUUUCAUUGUCGUCCGUUGUAAUAACUUGAAAUGUUUAUUCCAAAUUUAUUCUAUUAUUACGUCUAAUUCAGUUUGAUCAACGAACGAGCUCUGCUUUUUCAAUGUAAAAAAAAAAAAAAACUUUUUGGAUAUAAUAAAUAAUAAAUAUAAUAAAUUACUAAAGUAUGUUACGAAGCGAAUUCAAAAACUUUGUA